ACUACGGGAGGCUGCAGUGGGGGAUAUUGCACAAUGGGGGAAACCCUGAUGCAGCGACGCCGCGUGAGUGAAGAAGUAUUUCGGUAUGUAAAGCUCUAUCAGCAGGGAAGAAAAUGACAGUACCUGACCAAGAAGCCCCGGCUAACUACGUGCCAGCAGCCGCGGUAAUACGUAGGGGGCAAGCGUUAUCCGGAUUUACUGGGUGUAAUGGGAGCGUAGACGGUUAUGUAAGUCUGGAGUGAAAGCCCGGGGCCCAACCCCGGGACUGCUUUGGAAACUGUGUAACUGGAGUACAGGAGGGGCAGGCGGAAUUCCUGGUGUAGCGGUGAAAUGCGUAGAUAGCAGGAGGAACACCGGCGGCGAAGGCGGCCUGCUGGACUGAAACUGACGUUGAGGCUCGAAAGCGUGGGGAGCAAACAGGAGUAGAUACCCCAGUAGUC
rnacentral:rRNA from 1 species